rnacentral:rRNA from 1 species
GACGAACGCUGGCGGCGUGCUUAACACAUGCAAGUCGAACGGAAAGGCCCUGCGCUUGUGGGGUUCUCGAUUGGCGAACGGGUGAGGAACACGUGUGUAACCUGCCCUUGACUUUCUGAUAACUUCAGGAAACUGGGGCUAAUACCGGAUAGGAUCUCCUGCUGCAUGGUGGGGAUUGGAAAGUUUCGGCGGUUGGGGAUGGACUCGCGGCUUAUCAGCUUGUUGGUGGGGUAGUGGCUUACCAAGGCUUUGACGGGUAGCCGGCCUGAGAGGGUGAACGGGCACAUUGGGACUGAGGUACGGACCAGACGCGUACGGGCGGCAGCAGUGGGAAAUAUUGCACAAUGGGCGGACGCCUGAUGCAGAAACGCCGGGUGCGGGAUGACGGCUUUCGGGUUGUAAACAGCUUUCGCCUGUGACGAAGCGUGAGUGACGGUAAUGGGUAAAGAAGCACCGGCUAACUACGUG